CACGGGGGGCCUACGGGAGGCAGCAGUAGGGAAUCUUCCGCAAUGGACGAAAGUCUGACGGAGCAACGCCGCGUGAGUGAUGAAGGUUUUCGGAUCGUAAAGCUCUGUUGUUAGGGAAGAACAAGUGCCGUUCAAAUAGGGCGGCACCUUGACGGUACCUAACCAGAAAGCCACGGCUAACUACGUGCCAGCAGCCGCGGUAAU
rnacentral:rRNA from 1 species